GCAGGCAGCAGGCACAGCACUGAAAGCAACAUCUGAACAGGAAGCAGAGUGAGCGAACUCACAUUAGCCAGAGUCUUAAGGUAUAAAUAACAUCAAUUAAUGAGGUGCUCAUUCUUAUCAUUUGCCUCCAAUAAGCCAUUCCUCUUCCUCCUUUCCUGUGUGUGCAUCAUGUUAGUAAACCCCAGUUCUCCUCUAAGGAAAGGUUCAGUAACUCUCCCCCAUUCACAAACAAACCUUAAUCGUGAAAAUGGCAAUGGAACAAAUGACAUGAAUGACAUGAGGGAAAUGAAACUCUGACCUAACCUGUCCAGCACCAUCUUCUUCCUCAGGGUUACUCGGGCACUUUUAAAGGAUGCUAACAGGCUGGCUGUGUACAAGCCACAUCUGACUGCCCGUGAAAAGGUCUGGGAAAUGUUUGAACUUCUGGGGUUCUCCUGGUCUAGUGCGAGGACAGAGAGUAGUGACCCACACCUGUAGCCGCAGCCCGUGGAAGGUGAAACUCAGAAUCCGAAUCCGAAUCACAUCCCUGACUACAUGGAAUGCGCCAGAAGGGCAGCCCUCAGGAUGCUGGGAAGCAAGGAACAAAAAAGUUUUACUAAUAAAGUGAGAGGUGAACAUAGGAUCCAUCAAUGGAUGCUGAGGAUGUGGGAAUAGAGAAGCAACUGAUGCAGGAUUGUUUCUUCAACAACAACAACAACAGCAACAACAACAACAACAGGGCCCCUUAUAACCUAGGGUGGCCUCAGAUUUGCCAUGUAGCUAAGGCUCACCUUGGAUGUCUGAUCUGUUUGCCUCCUGCCCUGAAGGCUGGGGUUACAAGUGUGCACUACCACGCCUUGUUUAUGCAGUGCUGGGCUCACACCUGGGGCGUCAUGCAGCUUGUGCUCUGUCCUGUUACUGCCCCUCACCUUGGUGCAUUUGUAAGUGUGAAUGACUCU
rnacentral:lncRNA from 1 species